rnacentral:rRNA from 1 species
AACGAACGCUGGCGGCAGGCUUAACACAUGCAAGUCGAACGCAUCCUUCGGGGUGAGUGGCAGACGGGUGAGUAACGCGUGGGAACGUGCCCUUCAGUUCGGGAUAACCCAGGGAAACUUGGGCUAAUACCGGACACGUGCGGGAGCAGAAAGAUUUAUCGCUGAAGGAUCGGCCCGCGUCUGAUUAGCUAGUUGGUGGGGUAAUGGCCCACCAAGGCGACGAUCAGUAGCUGGUCUGAGAGGAUGAUCAGCCACAUUGGGACUGAGACACGGCCCAAACUCCUACGGGAGGCAGCAGUGGGGAAUAUUGGACAAUGGGCGCAAGCCUGAUCCAGCCAUGCCGCGUGAGUGAUGAAGGCCUUAGGGUUGUAAAGCUCUUUCGUCCGGGACGAUAAUGACGGUACCGGAAGAAGAAGCCCCGGCUAACUUCGUGCCAGCAGCCGCGGUAA